AUACGGAGGGUGCAAGCGUUACUCGGAAUCACUGGGCGUAAAGCGCGCGCAGGCGGUCUUUUAAGUUGGAUGUGAAAGCCUACGGCUCAACCGUAGAACUGCAUCCAAAACUAUUAGACUAGAGUGUGGGAGAGGAAGAUGGAAUUAGUUGUGUAGGGGUAAAAUCCGUAGAGAUAACUAGGAAUACCAAAAGCGAAGGCAAUCUUCUGGAACACUACUGACGCUGUGGCGCGAAAGCGUGGGGAGCAAACAGGAUUAGAUACCCCAGUAGUCC
rnacentral:rRNA from 1 species